rnacentral:rRNA from 1 species
UACGUAGGGCGCAAGCGUUAUCCGGAAUUAUUGGGCGUAAAGAGCUUGUAGGCGGUUUGUCGCGUCUGCUGUGAAAACUCGAGGCUUAACCUCGAGCUUGCAGUGGGUACGGGCAGACUAGAGUGUGGUAGGGGAGACUGGAAUUCCUGGUGUAGCGGUGAAAUGCGCAGAUAUCAGGAGGAACACCGAUGGCGAAGGCAGGUCUCUGGGCCACUACUGACGCUGAGAAGCGAAAGCAUGGGGAGCGAACAGG